AAGGUAGUGUAGUUAACACCUGCAUUAUUUGACGUUACCUACAGAAGAAGCACCGGCUAACUCCGUGCCAGCAGCCGCGGUAAUACGGAGGGUGCGAGCGUUAAUCGGAAUUACUGGGCGUAAAGCGCAUGCAGGCGGCCUGUUAAGUCAGAUGUGAAAGCCCGGGGCGUUAACCUCGGAAUUGCAUUUGUAAACUAGGCAGGCUAGAGUCUUGUAGAGGGGGGUAGGAAUUUCAGGUGUAGCGGUGAAAUAGCGUAGAGAUCUGAAGGAAUACCAGUGGCGAAGGCGGCCCCCCUGGACAAAGACUGACGCUCAGAUGCGAAAGCGUGGGGAGCAAACAGGAUUAGAUACCCUGGUAG
rnacentral:rRNA from 1 species